AUGAAAAUAAGAGCUUCCGUUCGUAAAAUUUGUACAAAAUGUCGACUGAUUCGUAGGCGUGGACGAAUUAGAGUCAUUUGCUCUAAUCCGAAGCAUAAACAAAGACAGGGUUUCUAUUUUUCUGGCAACACAUGCCUUGUUUCAAAAAAGAAAUUGCAACGGAUCCGUCGAAUUGAGCGACUGAGCGUCACCCUUUUAUCAUUGCGACAUAGAUCAUGUUGCGGGAAAUUUCUGUAA
rnacentral:rRNA from 1 species